CCCUCCGUCCCACUCAUUUCUAUACAGUUUCCUUUUUGGGACGUCUCAUCAUUUCUAUACAUUCCAAAUAUAGUAACUUUUUAUAAUAUAAAACACUACUACACCCACUACAUUCUUCCACUAUCUCCAUUCUAUAAUAAUAUAAACACUAUUCCACCCACUAUUUUCCCCCACUAUCUCAAAUCUAUCAUUAAAUAUAAAUGGGUCCCACCACUUUACUCACUUUUCAUCUCAAUUUACUCACUUUUUACACUUUUUCUUGAUUUCCGUGUCCAAACCAAACGUAUAUAAUCUAUCUGGACGGAGGGAGUAACAUUUUAUUUGACCGAUCAGAAUCCAACUAUUGGCUUACUUGCGGUAGUUGCUUGAAAUUGCAUUUUUAUAUUAAUUGUGUCGCAUCAAUCAUAAAAUUUACGGUCAGCUAGCUAUGCGAUUGAUUUGCAUUUACUUUUCCCAAGUCUUAAAGACCCUACAGGGUGUGUUGAAUGACCC
rnacentral:lncRNA from 1 species